CUGCAGGCUGGGCUUCCACGGGAGGACAGCUGAAGGGUGAAGCACAGUGUUUGGUAUUCCAGUGCCCACAAAAACAAACGGUCUAGAUUUAGGGUUCCACCUCUAUAAAUAAACCACUUUUGUAGUGUUUUCUGGUUAACCUAGCUGCGCUGCCAAUGGAAGAAAACAUCCUCCGCUCUAUUUCUUGACGCUGUCCCAUCAGUCGAUGGUGUGAUUCUUGUGAUGAAGUCAUGGAGUAAGAUCCACAUGUCAGACUUCAGAGAUUUUUAAUCGAUGAGAAGAGACUUCCAUAACUUCUGAGCAGAAUUGCCUUCAACUACGUUUUUUCUUUCCUGUCUACUCCUUUCUCUGAUACGAAUGUCUAUCAUGGAUAUAUUGUGGGUUCACAGGUCGGAGUCGGCCACUUGGAUUUCCAACAUCACUUUUACAAGUCUUCUCAAUGCUGAUUUUAAAGAAAUUGCUAUAUAAUCAUCCUUAAUAUCUAAAGGAUAGAUUUCAGGCUCUUUAUGGACGGAUUCGUGAUCGUUAAUGUGUGCCUGGAUGUAUAAUGCAGGCGCAAAGUUUCAGUCCUGAGUUAAUUAAAUAACGCUCCCGACCUAAACCACCACUUCAGAUAAAUGGAACUGUAUCCCCUGAUCUUAGCUCAAGAAUCUGCAGACUGCUUUCUAGCAGAAAUUCUUUUCGUUGAAACUGUUAAAAACAAAGUAGAUUUCUGGAUUCAAAAAAAAAAGAAAUAAGAGAAAUAUUAUUACAAUCUGCGUUUAGCUUGUAUACACUCUGGCUGUCGGCUGUCAAUUUUGAUAAAAAAAAAUAUAUAAGUAUUUGCAGAUUUUAAUGUCUGGAAGAAUUUUAAUUAAAACUGAAGAUCUACUGGGAGGGUUUUAAACUAAACUGUACUGGAGUUGAUCUUUGAAUGACUUGAUGUUUGUUUGGUUGUG